UGCUGGGAUUACAGGCAUGAGCCACCAUGCCCAGCUUGUUAGGGAACCAAGAAAAUGGAAAUAAUGGUCCCUGCCCACCUGGAGCUUAAGGUGCUAUUUACACAUUCUCGUUUGAAGUACCCCGGGGUAAGUAGGAUUUCAUUGGAUUCCCCAUUCAUUCCUGUGUUGUUAUAUACAUAUAUUUUAAUAUCUAUAAUACAUAUAUAAUUAAUUUUAAUGUAUAUUAAUACACAUAAUUUUCAUUCAAUGUUCCUGGCUCAUAACUCCCAUAGCCAUUGUUGGUCUUUUGUUAUACGCUGUGUGUGUUAGGCCUCAGGGCCAAGCCUCAGGACAGAAUCUCUCUCGUGCCCUCUCCUUAUCUGCCCCAAGGCAGGACUCUAAUCCUCUCCACCUUUCUGAUUGUGGGUCUUAAGAGACUCCCCACAGAGGGUCCCACCCUGUACACUGGGGGAAGGAAUGGUGACGUCGUGAGGCUUCCAUGAAAACCCAAGAGGAUGGGUUUUGGGGAGCUGGGCCUGUGGAGGCUGACAGGAAGGUGAAGAAGAACUCACAUGUGCUAGGAGGAUGGCACAGCUCAAUUCCUGGGGACAGAAGCUCCUGCGCUUGGGACCCUUGCAGACCUCACCCUAUAUAUUUCUUCAUCUGGCUGUUUAUUUGUAUUCUUUAAAAUAUCCUUCUUAAUAAACCGGCAAGUGUGUUUCUUAGUUCUGUGAGCUGCUCUAGCAAAUUAAUCAAACCCAGAGAGGGAGUGGUGGGAAGCCCAGCUCGAAGCUGGUUGGUCAGAAGUUCCGGAGGAACCCUGACUUGCAACUGGCGGGGCAUGGAGAGCGUGGUCUUGUGGGACUGAGUCCUCAACCUGGGGGCUCUGACACUGUCUCCAGGCACAUAGCAUCAGAACUGAAUUGGAGGACACCCCGCUGGUGUAUACUGCUUUGUGUGGGGGAGAAAACCCCCACGCCUUUGGUCACAGAAGCCUUCUGUGUUGAUGUUCGUUGUGAUGGUGUGAGAGCAGAG